CACAGUGUCACUUCACCAGUGAUGGAGCCUCCAGCCCCCGCCCUCUGUCCCUCCCCCCCCCCCCCGAGUCUCCCAUCUCUUGUCUCCAGCAAGCUGCUGCAAUCAGCACAGACCCUGAUUGGACUUGGGCAGGUAACGGCCAGAAGUUCCAUCGCACCACACCUACUGAAAGCCCGUCAGAAUACCACACCACAGUAACCCACAACUAAGGACCACUUUGAAGCAGCCCAGACUUCCUCCACGUCCCCAAACCGCCAACGUCUUAACACAUGGACACAGCGGUCCUUAGACAAGUCUGACCUCCUCUGACCUUUGACCCCGCACCUCUCUUCAGGCCAAGGUGCAGGGUCGCUUUUCCACCACGCCUCUCUCAUGCAGAGCGAUGGAUCCCGAAGCGGCCGGGGGCCCGGUGCAGGCUCAGCCAGAAACAAAUUAAGCACUCAACGCUGGUGGGAGGAGAAGAAUGUAAAGGGAUGAAAAGGAAAUAAAACAUGGCCCAUCCAUGAAGCA
rnacentral:lncRNA from 1 species